rnacentral:rRNA from 1 species
CAUGCAAGUCGAGGGGCAGCAUCAUCAAAGCUUGCUUUGAUGGAUGGCGACCGGCGCACGGGUGAGUAACACGUAUCCAACCUGCCGACAACACUGGGAUAGCCUUUCGAAAGAAAGAUUAAUACCGGAUGGCAUAAUUAUUCCGCAUGGGAUAAUUAUUAAAGAGUUUCGGUUGUCGAUGGGGAUGCGUUCCAUUAGGCAGUUGGCGGGGUAACGGCCCACCAAACCUACGAUGGAUAGGGGUUCUGAGAGGAAGGUCCCCCACAUUGGAACUGAGACACGGUCCAAACUCCUACGGGAGGCAGCAGUGAGGAAUAUUGGUCAAUGGACGAGAGUCUGAACCAGCCAAGUAGCGUGAAGGAUGACUGCCCUAUGGGUUGUAAACUUCUUUUAUACGGGAAUAAAGUUAGCCACGUGUGGCUUUUUGUAUGUACCGUAUGAAUAAGGAUCGGCUAACUCCGUGCCAGCAGCCGCGGUAAUACGGAGGAUCCGAGCGUUAUCCGGAUUUAUUGGGUUUAAAGGGAGCGUAGGCGGGUUGUUAAGUCAGUUGUGAAAGUUUGCGGCUCAACCGUAAAAUUGCAGUUGAUACUGGCGACCUUGAGUGCAACAGAGGUAGGCGGAAUUCGUGGUGUAGCGGUGAAAUGCUUAGAUAUCACGAAGAACUCCGAUUGCGAAGGCAGCUUACUGGAUUGUAACUGACGCUGAUGCUCGAAAGUGUGGGUAUCAAACAGGAUUAGAUACCCUGGUAGUCCACACAGUAAACGAUGAAUACUCGCUGUUGGCGAUAUACGGUCAGCGGCCAAGCGAAAGCAUUAAGUAUUCCACCUGGGGAGUACGCCGGCAACGGUGAAACUCAAAGGAAUUGACGGGGGCCCGCACAAGCGGAGGAACAUGUGGUUUAAUUCGAUGAUACGCGAGGAACCUUACCCGGG